CAGCGGUGGAGGCCAGGGCACCAGGGUGGCAAUAUCAAUGUCAACUUUCAUUCUCUACCUGGGAGAACUUGCCGUCUAUGAAAGUUAAGAGUUGCAGAAAGAAGUCUUAUCAAAAUUGAAUGAAAGAAGAAAACUACAAGAAAAUGACCUAAAGGAAAGGGAAUAAAAGAAAACAAGAUCUUUUCUGGACGUUCAGUAUUAAAAGUUUUCAUGCUCAUUGAAAUGAAAAUUACAAAAUCAGAACUACAUAGUAGAUUUUGCAAGCAUGCAGCCGGAAGUGUAAGGGCUGGUGGACUUUAGGGGCCUAUGACUAGGAGACAGACUGGAAAACCAGAGACAGUACUGUGAACAUAAGCUACCUUUGCCAAAUAAAUUCUGGAACUUACUUCUUGAACUGAGAAGUUCAGAGAUGUUUUGGGACAGGACGCCAGACAGUUUGGAAUGACUUACUUGAUCUUACUGAAAAAAAAAUACAAUGUCUUUGAUUACUCUUCUCAGAGUUAGUCUCAUUUCCUACUUUAAUUAUUAAGGUUUUCCCUUUGCAUAUUAUUGUAUACUUGAACAUUCAUAAUAAUUCUUAAUUUUUUCAUAAAAAUGUAUUUAUCUGCAUGUAUGUGUGUACGUGUGUGUUGUUUGUGCAUGUGUGUCUCUAUGUUUUUAUAAAUAUCCCCUAAAUAGAUUGUGGUAGCUUGUUUCUUGUUUUCAGUUGGCUACCAUCAAUUUCUCUCCUCCCUGUAUCUAUCUAUUGCUCUACUCCCUUGAAUCUGGGCUCAUUUGUGACAGAUUUGCCAAAUAGAAUAUAGUGGAAGUGACGCUGUAUGACUUCCAACACUUCCCACACUUUGAAGCUUCUACCUGGGUCUCCUGGAAUUCCUGGUCUUGAAAUGCCACGCUGUUUGAAACCCAAGCCACACUAUGGCUAUGUGGAGAGACAAAAGAGGGAGAAAUCCUGACCAGCCCACAGGUAUUCUAGCUAUUCUAGUCUAGGAGCCAGGCAUGUGAGUAAAGAAGCUUUCAGAAUUCCAGCCUCAUCUGUCAUAUUUCUGCAACCAUUUGAAGGACACAAAAGUGAGUAACGCUCAGCUUCGUCAACCCCCAGAAAAAUGGAACAUAACAAUAAAUGACUGUUUUAAGCUACUAAGUUUUGGUGUGGUGUGUUACACACAGCAAUAAAUAACUGGAACAUACAAUAGACAUCCGAAGACAGACCUAACAUUUCUUACUUACGUCAUAAUGCUAUAAAAUUCAUCACCACUCUGUCAUUCCAGAAAUGUAACUAAAUUCUUAUAUCUAUCAUAUAUUUAGCUGAACAAUAUCACUUUACUCCACUUAUUUCAUUGGUCACAAAAAUACAUUUUUACAUUUUGUUGAAAUUUUUAAGGGCUAUAAAAUGAUACAAUAAAA
rnacentral:lncRNA from 10 species